GUGAGGAAUAUUGGACAAUGGGCGCAAGCCUGAUCCAGCCAUGCCGCGUGCAGGAAGACGCAUCUAUGGUGUGUAAACUGCUUUUGUACGGGAAGAAACACUCCCUCGUGAGGGAGCUUGACGGUACCGUAAGAAUAAGGAUCGGCUAACUCCGUGCCAGCAGCCGCAGUAAUACGGAGGAUCCAAGCGUUAUCCGGAAUCAUUGGGUUUAAAGGGUCCGUAGGCGGUUUAAUAAGUCAGUGGUGAAAGCCCAUCGCUCAACGAUGGAACGGCCAUUGAUACUGUUAGACUUGAAUUACAAGGAAGUAACUAGAAUAUGUAGUGUAGCGGUGAAAUGCUUAGAUAUUACAUGGAAUACCAAUUGCGAAGGCAGGUUACUACUUGUGGAUUGACGCUGAUGGACGAAAGCGUGGGGAGCGAACAGGAUUAGAAACCCGGGUAGUCC
rnacentral:rRNA from 1 species